AAGGAGUUUCCCGCAAGUGCACCACGGUUAAUUCAGGUUUUACCCAGUCCGAUGGCCCUCAAGAAAUUGUUUGCACCCAGUGGGUUUCGAACUUGAGACCUUGAAAGGGAGCUAACCCCAAGGCUCAAGUCAAUUACCACUAGGCCAACCCCUGAGGGUUCUCUUAACUGUUUAUUUCACACUAUUAACUUCCACUAGUAGCAG
rnacentral:lncRNA from 1 species